rnacentral:rRNA from 1 species
UACAGAGGUCUCAAGCGUUGUUCGGAUUCAUUGGGCGUAAAGGGUGCGUAGGCGGCGCGGUAAGUCGGGUGUGAAAUCUCGGGGCUUAACUCCGAAACUGCAUUCGAUACUGCCGUGCUUGAGGACUGGAGAGGAGACUGGAAUUUUACGGUGUAGCGGUGAAAAUGCGUAGAUAUCGUAAGGAAGACCAGUGGCGAAGGCGGGUCUCUGGACAGUUCCUGACGCUGAGGCACGAAGGCCAGGGGAGCAAAACGGGG